CCCGGGGAAUGCAACAGCUGAUUCACCUGCUCCACGCUGAUUAAUAAUCAAACUACCAUUGUGUGGGGCCUAUCUUCCUACUGGACCUCAAAACCCACCUACUCCACAAGUUUAUCUUCACAAUUAUGAGCUACCUGCUUCACGUCACACUACAGCACCUAAAAGCAAAUAAUAAAGUUUAUUCUUGAGUUAACCUGCCUCUGUGUUCAGCCAAUCCCUCCUGCACGUGAGUGAUGCACCUGGAUGCUGCAUAAGGAGAGAUGGAAAUACCUAAGGUGUGGUCCUUACUUCCAAGGGGCUUAUAGCAGAACGAAGACUCGAAAGCAAGCACACCCACAACCACAACACAGCCGCUGGCACACACAGCAGGAAAGACACCGGGUUUAAUGGAGCAGAGAAAGGGGGCGUCAUCUCCAGGCACAGCUCCAUGAAGAAGAUGACAUUGACCUGGGAGCUCUGAGCCUUCAUAUAAUGAGUAAGCUUUCAGCUGGAAGAAAUCCCAAGUGGAGAAACAGGAAGCUAUAAAAGAGCAAUGGUUUUGGAUUCACAAAACCUGCCUGAGUGAACCUGGUUGCCAUUCUAGCACAGAGAUCCUGUCUCAAAAAAAAAAAAAAAAGAGGCCUGAGAGAACGUGUUUAUGUCUUUUCCCAUGUGAAGACACAGCUAGAAAGCACCAUCCUUGAAACUGAGAGCAAGCCCUCAUCAGUCAGUGAAUCUGCUGAUGCCAUGUUCUUGGAAUUCCCAGCUUCCAGAACUGUGAGCAAUAAAUGUACAUAGAUUGCAAAUUA
rnacentral:lncRNA from 1 species